rnacentral:rRNA from 1 species
AUUGAACGCUAGCGGGAUGCUUUACACAUGCAAGUCGAACGAGUGGCGGGCGGGUGAGUAAUAUAUCGGAACGUGCCCAGUAGAGGGGGAUAACUACUCGACGGAGAGGCUAAUACCGCCUACUAUUGGAGCGGCCGCUAUCGGAUUAGCUAGUUGGGGGGGUAAAGGCUCACAAAGGCAACGAUCCGUAGCUGGUUUGAGAGGACGACCAGCAACACGGGGACUGAGAAACGGCCCAGACUCCUACGGGAGGCAGCAGUGGGGAAUGUUGGACAAUGGGGGAAACCCUGAUCCAGCCAUCCCGCGUGUAUGAGAAGGCCUUCGGGUUGUAAAGUACUUUUGGCAGAGAAGCGGUAUCUGCAGAAUAAGCACCGGCUAACUACGUGCCAGCAGCCGCGGUAAUAC